GGUGGUUCUCGGGUGACGCACCCGGAACCAGAGAGGAGGGAGCCUGAUUCUGGGGUGUGUCACCCGAGAACCACC
rfam:Myotis brandtii contig204389, whole genome shotgun sequence.